CAGUCGCCGCGGGAAUACGAAGGGUGCAAGCGUUAAUCGGAAUUACUGGGCGUAAAGCGUGCGUAGGUGGUGGUUUAAGUCCGUUGUGAAAGCCCUGGGCUAAACCUGGGAAUUGCAGUGGAUACUGGGUCACUAGAGUGUGGUAGAGGAUAGUGGAAUUUCCGGUGUAGCAGUGAAAUGCGUAGAGAUCGGAAGGAACAUCUGUGGCGAAGGCGACUAUCUGGGCCAACACUGACACUGAGGCACGAAAGCGUGGGGAGCAAACAGGAUUAGAUACCCCUGUAGUCCCUGUCUCUUAUAC
rnacentral:rRNA from 1 species